rnacentral:rRNA from 1 species
CCCUUAGAUGUUCUGGGCCGCACGCGCGCUACACUGAUUCAUGCAACAAGUUUUGUCCUUGGCUGAUAGGCCUGGGUAAUCUUUGAACGUGAAUCGUGAUGGGGAUAGAUGAUUGCAAUUAUUCAUCUUCAACGAGGAAUUCCUAGUAAACGCAAGUCAUCAGCUUGCAUUGAUACGUCCCUGCCCUUUGUACACACCGCCCGUCGCACCUACCGAUUGAAUGGUCCGGUGAAAUCUUCGGAUCUGAGAGAUGUCUGAUUAAUUUCGGACGCCUUUUGGAAAAGUUGUUUAAACCUUACCAUUUAGAGGAAGGUGAAGUCGUAACA